AGAGUUGAUCAUGGCUCAGGAUGAACGCUGGCGGCGUGCCUAACACAUGCAAGUCGAGCGAUUCUUUUCGAGAAGAGCGGCGGACGGGUGAGUAACGCGUGGGUAACCUGCCCUGUACACACGGAUAACAUACCGAAAGGUAUGCUAAUACGGGAUAACAUAUUUUGAUGGCAUCAUCGAGAUAUCAAAGCUCCGGCGGUACAGGAUGGACCCGCGUCUGAUUAGCUGGUUGGUGAGGUAAUGGCUCACCAAGGCGACGAUCAGUAGCCGACCUGAGAGGGUGAUCGGCCACAUUGGAACUGAGACACGGUCCAAACUCCUACGGGAGGCAGCAGUGGGGAAUAUUGCACAAUGGGCGAAAGCCUGAUGCAGCAACGCCGCGUGAGCGAUGAAGGCCUUCGGGUCGUAAAGCUCUGUCCUCAAGGAAGAUAAUGACGGUACUUGAGGAGGAAGCCCCGGCUAACUACGUGCCAGCAGCCGCGGUAAUACGUAGGGGGCUAGCGUUAUCCGGAAUUACUGGGCGUAAAGGGUGCGUAGGUGGUUUUUUAAGUCAGAAGUGAAAGGCUACGGCUCAACCGUAGUAAGCUUUUGAAACUGAGAAACUUGAGUGCAGGAGAGGAGAGUAGAAUUCCUAGUGUAGCGGUGAAAUGCGUAGAUAUUAGGAGGAAUACCAGUUGCGAAGGCGGCUCUCUGGACUGUAACUGACACUGAGGCACGAAAGCGUGGGGAGCAAACAGGAUUAGAUACCCUGGUAGUCCACGCCGUAAACGAUGAGUACUAGGUGUCGGGGGUUACCCCCCUCGGUGCCGCAGCUAACGCAUUAAGUACUCCGCCUGGGAAGUACGCUCGCAAGAGUGAAACUCAAAGGAAUUGACG
rnacentral:rRNA from 1 species